rnacentral:snRNA from 1 species
AUCUUAGUGCAUGGGUUUUACGCAUAUCAGUGAGGAUUCGUCCGAGAUUGCGUUUUUGCUAGUUGAAAACUAUAACCAUGACCGCUCUUGCUUGGCUUCGCGCCGGGUGAGGAAUUUUUGGAAACACACAAUCUCUUGAG